CACGGAGGCCCCGAGCGUUGUUCGGAUUUACUGGGUGUAAAGCGUGCGUAGGCGGUUAGGUAAGUCAGAUGUGAAAGCCCGGGGCUCAACCCCGGAACUGCAUCCGAUACUGCCUGACUCGAGGGUUGGAGAGGAGACUGGAAUUCACGGUGUAGCAGUGAAAUGCGUGGAUAUCGUGAGGAAGACCAGUUGCGAAGGCGACUCUCUGGGCAGUUCCUGACACUGAGGGACGAAAGCUAGGGGAGCGAAUGGG
rnacentral:rRNA from 1 species